rnacentral:rRNA from 1 species
UUAGAGUAGGAUCUUGGCUCAGGAUGAACGCUAGCGGCAGGCUUAACACAUGCAAGUCGAGGGGCAGCAUGUCCAGCAAUGGAUGAUGGCGACCGGCGGAAGGGUGCGUAACGCGUGAGCAACAUGCCCUAUACAGGGAGAUACACCAGGGAAACUUGGUCUAAUAUCCCAUAGCAUUCAUUGAAGGCAUCUUUAAUGAAUUAAAGCUUCGGUGGUAUAGGAUUGGCUCGCGUGACAUUAGCCAGAUGGUGAGGUAACGGCUCACCAUAGCAAUGAUGUCUAGGGGUUUUGAGAGGAAGGCCCCCCACACUGGGACUGAGACACGGCCCAGACUCCUACGGGAGGCAGCAGUGAGGAAUAUUGGACAAUGGAUGGAAAUCUGAUCCAGCCAUGCCGCGUGCAGGAAGACGGCCUUAUGGGUUGUAAACUGCUUUUAUACGGGAGCAAUAAGGGUUACGAGUAAUCCGAUGAGAGUACUGUAUGAAUAAGGAUCGGCUAACUCCGUGCCAGCAGCCGCGGUAAUACGGAGGAUCCGAGCGUUAUCCGGAUUUAUUGGGUUUAAAGGGUGCGUAGGCGGAAAUGUAAGUCAGUGGUGAAAUCCUGCAGCUUAACUGUAGAAUAGCCGUUGAAACUGUGUUUCUUGAGUACAUUUGAGGUAGGCGGAAUGUGGUGUGUAGCGGUGAAAUGCAUAGAUAUACCACAGAACACCGAUUGCGAAGGCAGCUUACUAAACUGUCACUGACGCUGAUGCACGAAAGCGUGGGUAUCAAACAGGAUUAGAUACCCUGGUAGUCCACGCUGUAAACGAUGAUUACUGGUUGUUUGCGAUACACUGCAAGUGACUGAGCGAAAGCAUUAAGUAAUCCACCUGGGGAGUACGUCGGCAACGAUGAAACUCAAAGGAAUUGACGGGGGCCCGCACAAGCGGAGGAACAUGUGGUUUAAUUCGAUGAUACGCGAGGAACCUUACCUGGGUUUAAAUGGGGAGUGACAGGCUUGGAAACAGGCCCUUCUUCGGACACUCUUCAAGGUGCUGCAUGGUUGUCGUCAGCUCGUGCCGUGAGGUGUCGGGUUAAGUCCCAUAACGAGCGCAACCCCUAUCGAUAGUUACCAGCACGUUACGGUGGGGACUCUAUCGAGACUGCCGGUGUAAACCGUGAGGAGGGUGGGGAGGACGUCAAAUCAGCACGGCCCUUACAUCCAGGGCUACACACGUGUUACAAUGGCCGGUACAAAGGGCAGCUACACAGCGAUGUGAUGCUAAUCUCCAAAUCCGGUCUCAGUUCGGAUCGAAGUCUGCAACCCGACUUCGUGAAGCUGGAUUCGCUAGUAAUCGCGCAUCAGCCAUGGCGC